UGCUUUCAUCUGCAGCUGAAAAGCCCUGAUGAGACCUCUGUCCUCCACCUGCAGCACCAAACAUCCGAACACAGCCAGCUUGUGGGCAGAACUUGGGAAUUAAUCAGCAGAGAGUUAGACUUCAUGAGUGGGCGGUCAUCAAAAAGAGAGAGAGAGAGCUGUUUAGUAAAAUUAUGCCUCACGUGGACAUCCUGUACAAGAAACUGCAGAAGAAGGACAUCGAUGCAGUCUUAUCAAGCAUGCCCUCCAGAUCUUCAAGCAGUGUUGAGGCAAUAAGCAGCAGCAGGAGGCCACAGAAACCACCACCAGAAGGAGAACGGCCUCGGGAGAGGAUGAGAAGCAGAGGCUGUGGGAGAAGAUCUGCAACACCAUCCUGACUCACACCAGAGAGGUUCUCCUUCACCAACCACCUGGUCAGUGCCACACUGCUACAAGCAGAAAUGUUUGAGCAGCACUGCCACACAUUAGUUCAUGCAUUUAUUACAUCAAGACUGGAUUACUGUAAUUCAUUACUCUCAGGAAGUCCACAGAAUGUAGUUAAAAGUCUUUAGCUUGUCCAAAAUGCUGCAGCUAGAGUUCUGAUGAGAAUUAAAAAGAGAGAUAAUAUCUCUCCUGUCUUAGCUUCCCUACAUUGGCUACCUGUUAAAUUUGGAAUAGAUUUUAAGAUCCUUCUUCUCACAUACAAAGCUCUUAAUAAUCAAGGUCCAUCAUACAUCAGUGAUCUGAUUGUUCCAUAUGUUCCUAACCGAGCACUUCGCUCUCAGACUGCAGGUCUACUGGUGGUUCCCAGAAUGUCUAAAAUUAGGAUGGGAGGCAGAUCUUUUAGUUAUCAGGCUCCUCUCCUGUGGAACCAGCUCCCAGCUUUAGUCCGUGAGGCAGACACCUUGUCUACUUUUAAGACUAGGCUUAAAACAUUUUUAUUUGAUAGGGCCUAUGGUUAAAAUCUGAUGUUAGCCUAAAUCUGGACAAGUGGGGGAGUAGAGGGAGGUGGAGUGUACAGUCAGUAAAGACGGCUCUCCCUUGCCCUGCCUCCAACAUGCCUCCAUCUAAAAAGGCUAGGUUAUCCAGAGUUAUCUCUGUAGUUAUGCUGCUAUAGGCUUAGACUGCUGGAGGAUACACUGACCACUUUUCACACUCUACUACUUUCUUCUACAAUCUGCUCUUUAACUGUAUUAUUUUCUGCAAUUUCAGCUGUUAACUUUAUUUUCUCUCUAGAGCUGGGCGUACACUGUGCGACUUUUUAACUCGUAGCACUCAGCUUCAGCUCAAACUGUACGACUUCCUCGCAGGACAGAUCUCACGAGUCAUGCGCUCACACUGCACGACCCAGUUCUCGGAUGCGACCUGACUUCUCACACUGUACGUCUGGUAGCAACACGUCAGCCCUAAACAAUACGCUAAAAAUAGCAGUUUUUACUCAACACUUCAGACUCUUUUGUCUUGUUUUGCCUGUUGUCCUUCGGGAGUGCUGCAGGAGGACACACAGGGAUUUAUGGGGGUUGGAUUAGGAAAACGAAAUAAAGAAAGUAAAUCUGUGUUUUGUGAUCAGUUUAAUUUGACAUGAACACGACAAAAACGCUUUCUUGACAAUCUUUGUGAGUAAAAAAAAAACGUGUAGAAACAAAAACGAACGACGUGUGUUAUUAGGGAAAUAGCGGGCGAGCGGCGUUGAUGCAGGAUUGCGCAUGCGCCGUGAGCGGUUCUGAUACUUUUUGGGUCGCAGCUGCUCGCAGCGCCGCUUCAACAGUGCGAUACCCUCACGAGGGACGAGCGAAAUGUUAAACACUCCAGAAGUUUGUGCGAGCUCACGAUUGCUGAUCGGUAGCUGGACACAUGGUGUUAAUCGCCUCUCGUAACCCCCUGUACACUACACGACGCUCGGCGCAAAACUCGCCCCGAUGUAGUGGAUUCUCGCACGACUGGAAAAUCGGCUCAAAAAAGUGAAAAAGUCGCACAGUGUACGCCCGGCUUAAGUGUUUUUCUCCCCAGAAGAAGCUACAAUGAUGUUCUGCUGAGCUGUGGUGGCCUCAUGGAGGGGGCCAUCGUCUAGCACACUGCUGCUAACCACUUAAACAUUCUCCCUCUCCUGAUAAUAACUUUUUGCUUUCCUUGACGUUGGAUGUGCUACUACUAGUUUAUCCGUUUAAUUAUAGAUCCACUAGGAUAAAUACAAUAAAGUUUAUCUCUCGCCAAAUAUAAUAUUUACUAAGACAUCACAAUGUAACCAUAGACACAUUACUUUGUCUUGUGUGUGUGUGUGUGUGUGUGUGCGUGCGUGCGUGCGUGCGUGCAUGCCUGCUCUGUCUUCUCGAUCCCCAGUGAGUCGUGGAGUAUGGCUGCUUAUACUGAGCCAGGAUUCUCUGGAGGUUUCUUCCUGUUAAAAGGGAGUUUUCCUCUCCACUGUCGCUUUUUGCUUGCUUAGUAUGAGGAUUGCUGUAACGUCACUGACACUAGUCAGUGACUUGAUGCAAUUUGCUGGGUUCCUUAUAUAGGAAACAUUAUUUCUGAUUGGCUUAAUGAACUGACCUGAAUUGGAAUGUUUACUAUGUGAAGUGCCUUGAGACGACUCUUGUCGUGAUUUGGCGCUAUAUAAAUAAGAUUGAAUUGAAUUGAAUUGAAUUGAACUGAAUUUCCCACGGGUGCUCUGAAUGCCACGAUGGAGGCCCAUGCUCAACAAGAACAAACUGAAGACAGAACUAUCUCUGGUCUAUGAGAACCCUGAGUUCAGGAGCUGCUGUGGUGCGCUGGUGUUGUAUCAGCUUCUCAUGAGAUACAACCUCCAGGACACAUUUUCUGAGACUGUCGCUUUGAUGAACAUCCUCAUCGCAACCCCAAUGACGAGAGCUGAGGCUGAGAGGUGCUUCUCAACUCUCAAAAGAAUUAAGACAUUUCUGAGAAAUUCAAUGGGCCAGGAACGCCUUAAUGCGCUGGUCAUGCUGCCCAUAGAGAGGGAGCUAGUCUGGUCCAUGCCUGACUUCAAUGAGAAGGUCAUCGAUCACUUUGCUGCUUUGAAAGACAGACGAGCGAAGUUUCAUCGCAAAAGAACAGGUUCCAUAUCUUUGCUUGUGGCAUAAACUACUCGCUGUGAAACUUUUUUGAUUUAUUGCCCAGCCCUUAGAGAUUGGGUGAGAAGCUCGGUCAUCCGGGAGGGGCUCAGAGUAGACCCGCUGCUCCUCCAUGUCGAGAGGAGCCAGUUGAGGUGGCUCGGGCAUCUAGUUAUGAUGCCUCCUGGACGCCUCCAUGGUGAGGUUUUCAAGGCACAUCCAACAGGGAUGAGACCUAAAGAAAGACCCAGGACACGCUGGAGGGACUAUGUCUCUCGACUGGCCAGAGAACACCUUGGGAGUCCCCUGGAAGAACUGGCCCAAGUAGCUGGGGAGAGGGAAAUGUGAGCCUCUUGGCUUGGGCUGCUGCACCCGUGACCCGACUCUGGAUA